rnacentral:rRNA from 1 species
CUACGGGAUGCAGCAGUCGAGAAUCUUCCGCAAUGGGCGCAAGCCUGACGGAGCAAUGCCGCGUGAGGGAUGACGGCCCUAGGGUUGUAAACCUCUGUCAGAAGGGACGAAGAACGUGACGGUACCUUCAGAGGAAGCCAUGGCUAACUACGUGCCAGCAGCCGCGGUAAUACGUAGAUGGCGAGCGUUAUUCGGAUUUACUGGGCGUAAAGGGUCCGUAGGGGGUCUGCCAAGUCUGAUGUGAAAUCCUGCGGCUCAACCGCGGAACUGCAUUGGAAACUGGCGGACUAGAGUGUGCGAGGGGUGAGCGGAAUUCCUGGUGUAGCGGUGGAAUGCGUAGAUAUCAGGAAGAACACCGAUGGCGAAGGCGGCUCACUGGCGCAUCACUGACCCUGAGGGACGAAAGCGUGGGUAGCAAACAGGAUUAGAUACCCUUGUAGUC